AAGAAUAUAAUUUAAAGGCAAAAUAAGAAGCUUCAAACUUCUCUUUCUCAGUUCGAAUCCGAGUAUUCUUGC
rnacentral:tRNA from 1 species